AACGAACGCUGGCGGCGUGCCUAACACAUGCAAGUCGAACGAGAAAGUCCUUCGGGAUGAGUAUAGUGGCGCACGGGUGAGUAAUACAUAGGAACGUACCUGCAGGUGGGGAAUAACCACGGGAAACUGUGGCUAAUACCGCAUACGAUUGUGAAAUCAAAGGGGGCCUCUUCUCGAAAGCUCUCGCCUGCAAAUCGGCCUAUGGCCCAUUAGCUAGUUGGUAGGGUAAUGGCCUACCAAGGCAACGAUGGGUAGCUGGUCUGAGAGGAUGAUCAGCCACACUGGGACUGAGACACGGCCCAGACUCCUACGGGAGGCAG
rnacentral:rRNA from 1 species